rnacentral:rRNA from 14 species
AUUUGCAACCAUACUACCCUGAAAAUGCCCGAUCUUGGAAGCUAAGAAGGGUUGAGUCCGUGUGGUACUUGGUGGAAGAUCUGUAGUUCUAUGGCAUCUAAAUCAGGAAAGUUGCUGAAU